CCAACAGACACACCUAGUCCUUCAAAGCCACACCUCCACAGAGACCCUUCCUUCUCUGGAGGUAGUUUAAGAUGGUAAUCUGAUAUCACUUCAGGACUUAAACAGAACAGGGUUGGGUGGGUUGUGCGUGGAGGCAGAGAUUUCUCGUUUUGAAUCUAAGCGGGGCUUUUUGUGAUGGCUUUGGUGCUUUCUGCAGAACUUUUUUUUUUUGUUGUUGUUUAACCAGAACAGUUCCAUAGGCAUUACUUAUGGUCAAAUCAAUGGUUUUUCCAGCAAGGGCUCAUUAAUCAGUUGCUAAGCCGCCACAAAUUACAAGGGAGAAGGAAAACAUCUCCGCAGAGAGGGAAAAGAUGCUGAGGAGGCCAGAAGAGGGCAUUGGAUCCCCCUGGAGCUGUAAUUACAAACGAUUCAUUGUGAGUCCAUCUGAAGAGGUACUUGGAAUGCAACAGUCCCUCUGUGAAAUCAGCCCACGUUCCUAACUGCUGAGCCAUCUCUCCAGCCUCCAUGUGUUUAUGUAUGUGACCUCGUCAUCAGAAUCGCCUUAACCAUCUGUUAUUAUCGACAUUCUGUUCGUAUUACUUAUGUAUUCUCCAAGAAGAUGCAAGAUCUCAGCUGGGUGUGAGGACUCAUGCUUGUAAGCCCAACACUUGGAAGACAGAGGCAGGAGACUCAGAAGUUCAAGGUCAAGGUUGACCUGGGCUAGAGGAGCUCCUGUUUCAAAAAUCAAAAAUAAACAACAAAACU
ensembl:lincRNA 4930556G22Rik RIKEN cDNA 4930556G22 gene